UUCGUAGGUGGCCCGCUAAGUCACACGUGAAAUCCCUCAGCUUAACUGGGGAACUGCGUGUGAGACUGGCAGGCUUGAGUGCAGGAGAGGAACGCGGAAUUCCAGGUGUAGCGGUGAAAUGCGUAGAUAUCUGGAGGAACACCGGUGGCGAAGGCGGCGUUCUGGACUGUAUCUGACACUGAGGAACGAAAGCCAGGGGAGCAAACGGGAUUAGAUACCCCGGUAGUCCUGGCCCUAAACGAUGAAUGCUUGGUGUGACGGGUAUCGAUCCCUGUCGUGCCGUAGUUAACGCGUUAAGCAUUCCGCCUGGGGAGUACGGUCGCAAGGCUGAA
rnacentral:rRNA from 1 species